CUCUGAACCUUGCAGGAACUCGGCUGUCAGCCCAGAGCAGCCUGAGGCAAAGACUGAGUGAGGAGGAGAGGAAGAAAACCAAGCUCUAACCCCUUGGCAGAGGAAGUCAGUCUGUUCCAGGAAGCCCAGGCUGUGUGCACAGAGAAGACCCACUACUGUAAUACUUCAGAACUACUGAAUUUGCAACGUAACUAUUCUAUUAAACCCUUAUAUGGAUAUGAAAGCAAAGUACUAUUAAUCCUGUUGUACAGAUGAGAGCUGUUGCUUGAGAACUUUAAUAAAGUACCCCCAAGAACAGAGUCAAAGCCUGAAGGUGUCCUUGGGCUGCUUCUCUAGUAAAAUGCUCAAGCUGCCCAAGACUUUUCUUCAGAAGGUCUUCAGAGUUUGACCAUGAAUCAUCAUAAAAGACCAUGUUUGGGAAUGAAGCGGCAAUGGUAUGCAAAAGAAUGAAGAUUUUUUGCAAAACUUUUGGCAAAAGUAUGGGUAACCUUUGAGAACUACUUUUACCAUUAGAAAAUGCAACAAAAAAGGUAAAUCUCAUCUCUCCCAGCACCACUUAUACAUGCUCCAAUAAAUAAGUAAUGGUACGAGUGCCACACAGUGAAGUAGAAUGUUUUUCUUGUGCUUUGAUCCUAAUCUCUAGAGAAAUAUGUUUACUUUAAGUUUGCUGGAAGCUAGACUUUGUGUUUUGAAGGUCAGCUAAGAAAUCUCUGGAGAUCUGAUGUUAUUCACUCUCAUGGAAUGAAACGCUGACUCCAGCAUUCCAGCUGCUAACUCGAGUCCUAAGCACAGGGAAAGACUGCCAUGUUGCCCUUCCUUGGGAAAAGAUUAUUUUCUUAUUUAAAUUGGAACAUUUUAAAUUGGAAGCUAAAUAAAUUUUUAUGUACCUGGUUGGCAGGGAUAUGAGCUAUAAUUUUUAAUACUCAGAAUAUUCCAAGAAGGUGCAGAGAGAUGUUGCCAAGGAUGUGAGGAUAUUGUAACUGGAGUCCCUUGGGUCAGAUUUGAGAAUGCUGCAGUCUCAUGGACUGAAUGAUAAAAGAGAUGAAAAUACAAAAAAGUCAGUCAGCCAGCUGUUAAAGCAGAUUAAGAUAGAAUUUAGCUACAACAAAUUCAGACAGGGACUUUCUGGAGAGUCAAAUUAUUUCCCAUAAAAUGCAAAACACUAGAAGACUUCCAGUGAAGAAAGCUGUAAGAACAUGGUUGUGGAGUUGAGUGCUGAUAAAUAUGGAACCAUCAGGAAAAGAAUGGUUGUUUUUUUUUCUCACUGGAGCUAAAAAGCAGAGCCAGAAGGUUAAUAUACCUUUCAAUAAUUAACCUUGAUGUUUUCUAUAAAUAUAUGUUAAUCUUCCUGACAUCAUACAAAAA